AAACCAACAGGGAUUGCCUUAGUAGCGGCGAGUGAAGCGGCAAAAGCUCAAAUUUGAAAUCUGGCGUAUUCUACGUCCGAGUUGUAAUUUGAAGAAGGAUACUUUGGGGUUGGCUCUUGUCUAUGUUUCUUGGAACAGAACGUCACAGAGGGUGAGAAUCCCGUGCGAUGAGAAGCCCAAUUCCGUGUAAAGUGCCUUCGAAGAGUCGAGUUGUUUGGGAAUGCAGCUCUAAGUGGGUGGUAAAUUCCAUCUAAAGCUAAAUAUUGGCGAGAGACCGAUAGCGAACAAGUACAGUGAUGGAAAGAUGAAAAGAACUUUGAAAAGAGAGUGAAAAAGUACGUGAAAUUGUUGAAAGGGAAGGGCUUGAGAUCAGACUUGGUAUUUUGUAUGUCUUGCUUUCGGGUGGGGCCUCUGCAGUUUACUGGGCCAGCAUCGGUUCGGGUGGUAGGACAAUUGCGAAGGAACGUGGCACUACUUCGGUGGUGUGUUAUAGCCUUUGUGGAUACUGCCUGUCUGGACCGAGGACUGCGUCAUUUGACUAGGAUGCUGGCAUAAUGAUCUUAAGUCGC
rnacentral:rRNA from 1 species